UAACGCGUAGGCGAACCUGCCCUCCGCCGGGGACGAACACGUCCGAAAGGGGUGCGUAAUACCGGAUACGAAGUCUGUGCCGCAUGGUACGGAUUUGAAAGAUGGCCUCUAUUUAUAAGCUAUCGCCGGGGGAUGGGCCUGCGUCCGAUUAGCUGGUUGGUGGGGUAACGGCCUACCAAGGCGACGAUCGGUAGCCGGUCUGAGAGGAUGAACGGCCACAUUGGGACUGAGACACGGCCCAGACUCCUACGGGAGGCAGCAGUGGGGAAUCUUCCGCAAUGGGCGCAAGCCUGACGGAGCAACGCCGCGUGAGUGAAGAAGGUUUUCGGAUCGUAAAGCUCUGUUGACAGGGACGAGAGGAUACAUCAGGAAAAUGGGUGUAUUAGGACGGUACCUGUCGAGGAAGCCACGGCUAACUACGUGCC
rnacentral:rRNA from 1 species